ACGGAUGGACCUGUCGUUGGUGCUUGGCAUGUCGUUUUUGGGCUGUAAGUUUUACACUGGUUUUCUCGUUUACACCCGUAUCAGGCCGGUAUCCGAUACAGACCAGAGGCCGUCGUUUUUCCCCACCUCGCCUCUCGCUCGAGACCUAGAUCGAGUUGCGCCGCCGGGAGGCGCCGGCGCUGGUGUCCACGAGGUGGUCAAGCAACGGCAUUCGCGACGGCGACGUGGUGAGGCGCAGAAGACGGUGGCCACGACGGGGGUUAGGCGCGCCGACGACGGCGACUCGUUCCUGGCCGCGACGGUGACGGCGACUCGCUCCUGGCCGCAACAUUGACGGCGACUCGCUCCUGGCCGCGACGGCGACAUUGGCCGGCAGCCGUGACCUGACCGUGACGGCGAAUCGCUCAUCCUCCUCUGCUCCACCAAGAACUGUUAAGAGUGAUUUGGAGGAUUCAAGAUUCUGUGAAGCUCUUUUGACAUUUAAAGCUCAGAACUGAAGAUAAUGGAUACGAGUAACCAUGAUGAUGGAUAUGAGUCAUGUACUGAUUCUGAGGAGGAGGAGGAGGAGGAGAUGAUGUUUCUUGUCUUCCCGACAAUAUAUUGUAUAUCUUCUAGGAGGGAAAAGAUUCCAGUGAACACAUCCAUUCUUACGGUAGCUAAGUAUAUCCGAGAAAUAUUGGAUGGCCACCCUCAACGGUGCCUUGAUAUUCUUAGGAUGGAAUCCCAUAUCUUCCAACUUCUAUGUGACCAUCUUAGAUCCAAAAAUCUUCUAAAAAAAUCAAAAGGAGUCAGUGUUGAAGAGCAACUAGGGAUGUUUAUGUACAUGCUAUCCAAGAAUGCGAGUUAUCGUACGUUGACUGAUAGGUUUCAGCACAGUCCUGAAACGGUGCAUAGGCAUAUCAAUGGAUGCUUCAACGCUAUGAGAUCAUUGGCAUUUGACCUUAUCAAGCAUAGUUCGCUAGAUACUCAUUGGAAAAUAUCAACAAAUCCCCAGUUUUGGCCUUUCUUUGAGAACUGCCUAGGGGCAAUAGAUGGGACUCAUGUUCCCAUGACCAUUACAUCCAACGAGGCUGCUCCAUACAGGAAUAGAAAGGGGACCCUCUCCCAAAAUGUGAUGGUCGCCUGCGACUUCGAUCUCAACUUUGUUUAUGUGUCAGCUGGUUGGGAGGGGUCUGCCUCAGAUGCCGGAGUAUUGAAAUCUGCU